UGAAUAAAAGUUGGAAACAGAAGAAAGAGUUCAUCCACGGUACAAUAUAGUAGUGCCAACCGGCGAACAUUGUCUUUAUUCAAUUAACUGUCGUGUACGAACAUAGUUUUGUAAUAAGUCCGUAAUCUAAUAAAUUGUUUUUUUUAAAAAGUCUUCGCGCUUGGCAAAGCAUAAAAUUGGCGCAGUCGGUAGGAUUUGUCAAAACGGCUCAACAAAAAUCGUGAAAAGUUUCGUUUUAACGAUUAAUUUGGCAAAUUCCGAAAUCGUGCUCGCGGACGUGUUCGACCGAAAUGAACGUUUCUUAGAUAAAGAAGACCAGGGAUCAAGGGACUACAUCGCCCUCAACCUAUUGGCAACUAGAAGUAAGAAGACCAGGGACCAAGGGACUACAUCGCCCACAACCUAUUGGCACUAGCAACUAAGGCGCAAGAAAAGAAAAACUUCAAGAAUGAAAAUCGCAAUACUUCCACUGUAAGUACAAGUUAAAAGUGAUUUCUGCUCGUUUAUUCUAACAUUUCAUGUCCUCUUCCGAAGAAGAAUUUGAGAAUAUAAUCAAACAAUUUUAACUUUCUAAUUUUUAAACGAAACGCAAUUCUAACAAAUUAAGAAUGCAUCAUCAAGCAAACCCUGAAAAUGUAGGUAUCAAUUAUCAACUUCGACGUCUUUAUGUAGAUGCAAUUCCUACUUUUGAUGGAAACCCACAUACCCUUUCCAUUUUUAUUAAUAAUUGCACUAGUCUAAUUUCAAGUUUUAUAGAGAAGGAGAGGAACUACAUAAUAGUUUCAUUGUUCGCUCUAUAAUUGGGAAAUUAACAGGUCGAGCUUUAAGUUUAAUAGGUUCUAGAAUUAAUAAACUUCAUACCUGGAACGACAUUAAAAAUACCCUUCAAUUAAGCUUUAGUGACCAACGUAAUUUAGAUUGCCUUGUUCAGGAUUUGAUAGCUUUAACACCUUCUAAAGGUGAAACACCGUAUAAUUUUGGUAUGCGAUGCCAAGAUGCACGUUCUUUGAUCUUUUCCAAACUAGAUUCUCUGAAAUUAACCGAACAAGAAAGAACAGUACGAAUCAAAAUCAAAAUUACGAAGAACUAUCAUUAAAAACUUUCAUUUGUGGAUUAACCGGUCAAUUACAAAAUAAUGUCCGACUCCGUGAUCCAAACAGUUUAGAACAAGCUAUGUCUCUCGUUAUAGAAGAAGAAAACUUUCUCUAUAGCAAAAAUCGUGCCAAUGCCCUAAAUACACAAUGUUUUAAACCAAACCAAAGAAUGAUACCAUCAACUCAAUUCAGUCAACCAAAACCAAUCAACUACCAACAUAACCAAAUACCCAAUCUUACAAACCCGUUCAAACAACAAAACCACAACAAUUUCAACUUCCCUAAGCCAUUCAACACCAACUUUCAAUUCAGAUCACCACUAUUUCAACCAAGACAAAGCCAAGUAUUCAGAAACCCAUUCAUGAAUAAUCCAAAUCGCUUUGUGCAUCAAAGACAACCCCAACCAUAUCAAAGACCAAAUUUUCCACCAAGACAAAGCCAAGUAUUCAGAAACCCAUUCAUGAAUAAUCCAAAUCGCUUUGUAUAUCCGAAACAGCCCAAACAAAAUCAUGGUAAACUUGACGAACCAAUGGAUACUUCCUCAGGUUUAUCUAAAUUCCAAAAACCAACUUUUACAGAAUUCCAUCAACAAAACGUUGAAAGUAACGAAAUGAAUUUUCAUGAUCCUAAUAAUCAGUUUCCGAAUAUCAAAACGUUUAUGCUGAUUUUAAUAACCCUGAAACCUUCAUUGACCCAGAUGAAAUAGAAGAUUACUAUGACCCAUAUCAUGAAGAAAACAGAGACUAUGACAACCAAGCAUAUUUUGAUGAACUCGAAAGAAAUAACAGAACUAGUUCAUUGCAAAUGCCCACACAAGCAUCUUAUCUUCAUGAUUCUACACAAUCUCAAUGGUACGAUAACAAUGAAAACACUGAGAAUGAAAAUUUUACAAUGCGUCCUAUAACACCCGAGAAACCUUGAUAAAUUGCAAUUUAACUGCAGCUAAUCUACCUCACAUAUACAUUCCCGAAAUAAACGCAAACUUACUAAUUGACACUGGAAGUUCUAAAAGCCUUCUAUCAAAAGAAAUCGUUGAAAAAUUCUAUUAACGAUUUAUUUUUAAUGAAGAAUUCCAAAUUCAAACAGCUCACAUGAUAUCUCGACACAACCAAGUAAUUUUCAUUCCAAUCUUCAAUAUUUGCAAAACAAAUCUAAAACACAAAUUCUACGUAUUCAAUUUCAGUAAUAAAUACUAUGGAUUAAUUGGUAUUGACUUAUUAACGGAAUUAAAAGCUAUAUUAAACGUCAAUGAUAGAAUACUAAUUACUCCCUUCGCAAGAAUUCCCGUCAUUUACGAAUCAGAACAUCAAUCAAACCGGAAUUUCAAAAACUAUUCUAUUACAAUUUCUGCAAGAUCAAAACAAAUUGUAAAAAUACCAGUGAAAUAUCCGAAUGGUACAGCCCUUGUCAACUAUUUAAAAUUUAGUGAACAAGUUGAAAUGCCCCAAGCGGUAGUAAACAUUAAUAAAUUCUUCGCAACUACCACCAUGACUAACAGUUCUGAAAAUGCCAUAUGUCUAACAAUAAACAAACUUUUCGAAGUAGAACUUUUAAACACCAGCGAAUUAAAUUUCAUUGAAAAAAUGGAAAUUAAUGAGCCUGAUGAAAUUGACAUCUCUAAAGAUAAUUUGUUAAAAGCAAAUUUAAAAAAUCUGAGACGCAAUCAUUGCAAUACAGAAGAACAAAAAGCAAUUAGAAACCUUUGUUUAGAAUUUCGUGAUAUCUAUUAUUGCGAUAAAAUUCCUUUGACAUUCACCUAUCAAAUCAGACACAAGAUAAACUUAUCUGAUAAAACCCCAAUUUUCACAAAAACGUACAGAUACCGCGAAAUCCAUAAAACCGAAGUCAUAAUAGAGUGCAAACCCAGAGAAGACGCGAACAGAAAUAGGGGAAUACCGCCAACCAGAUGGUCUGACCACAUAGGGUAAACGCUACAGUUGUUGGCACCCCGAGAGUUAUUGGCACAUUCUUCAUAAAAUAAUUAAAUUUAGGGCCUCUACAACAUCGAUUGACAUCACAAUAAUUUUUUUAAUAUCUGACAUCAUUGUCGCUAUAGUAACCGUUAAAACUGCAACCUAACAUAUAAUUGAGUUUUGUUAAUGUCAGUUCAAAGAGCUGUGUGUCGUUGGGUCUCGUAAGAUCAGAAUAAUGCCGAAGGUAGUAAACUCAGAGCCCUACCAGAAAAAAUAUUCAGAA